GACGUAGGGUGCAAGCGUUGUCCGGAUUUAUUGGGCGUAAAGGGCGCGUAGGCGGCCUGAUCAGUCGGGGGUGAAAGCCUGUGGCUCAACCACAGAAUGGCCUUCGAUACUGUCGGGCUUGAGACCGGAAGAGGUAAGUGGAACUGCGAGUGUAGAGGUGAAAUUCGUAGAUAUUCGCAAGAACACCAGUGGCGAAGGCGGCUUACUGGUCCGGAUCUGACGCUGAGGCGCGAAAGCGUGGGGAGCAAACAGG
rnacentral:rRNA from 1 species